GCUCCGGUGGCCUAGUGGUUAAAGCGUCCGCCUCGGAUGCGGGAGGUCGUGGGUUCUAUCCCCGGUCGUUUCA